rnacentral:rRNA from 1 species
UACGUAGGUGGCAAGCGUUAUCCGGAAUUAUUGGGCGUAAAGCGCGCGUAGGCGUUUUCUUAAGUCUGAUGUGAAAGCCCACGGCUCAACCGUGGAGGGUCAUUGGAAACUGGGAAACUUGAGUGCAGAAGAGGAAAGUGGAAUUCCAUGUGUAGCGGUGAAAUGCGCAGAGAUAUGGAGGAACACCAGUGGCGAAGGCGACUUUCUGGUCUGUAACUGACGCUGAUGUGCGAAAGCGUGGGGAUCAAACAGG